CAUCUUUGUAACCAUGAUCAACAUAAACCUCUCCUCCAUGAAUGUUUUUUGCCAUUCUUUUAGUCACAAAAAUGAAAAAAAAAAAAAGUAACUAGUGCACUUUCUUUUCUAGUAAUAUUGAGACCCAGUAGGCCUUAGAACUUGUGGUUCAGUGUCACAAAUAAGAAUGAUCCAAAUUGCUUUUUUUUUUCAGUCUUCACUUUCAGACAAAGGCCUUUGAGGAUUUGAAUCAUUUCAGUGGGUGAUCCAGUUUUGUUUUGGUGCCCACCACCUAUGUCCACUCAUGAGAGAGCACCUUGGUUCUUCGUUGGGGAAUUGCUAUUCUCUAUUCUCUGGUGUCUGCUGUUUUAAUGGGCCCAUCCGUCGAGGUGUUCCUUCUCUGUUAGUCAAGGAGCAGCCACGUGAUCCCAGCUAUGACAAUCCAAAUCUAUCAUCCAGGGAUUUAAUUCUCAGUGUUAGGAGCUCCUCCAGGCAAUCAGGAAGAUACAGGCUUUUACUCAACAUGCUAACCAUGGCACGACCUGAUUUCUGGUGGCUAUCAACAUAA
rnacentral:lncRNA from 1 species